AUCUCUCAUUUCUUUAACCUCACAAAUCGGAAAUCUCUCAUCAUCAUUCAUCCUCAACCUCAACAUUAGCAAAUUCAAAAUUGUACCCAAAUCAAGUGCGAAAGGGAAAUCAAUUGCAAUUUAACACACUAAAUAAAACAGGAAUGACAAUAGCUAUCCAAAUUCAGUCGAAAAUUAAUUAAAUGGGAAUGACAAUAGCUAAGAAAUUUUAGCACUUGCAGAGCAAUGAUAUUAACCUAGAUCAACCAAAUCGUCCCCAUUUUGCCAUAACCUAAAAAGGCAAAAA
rnacentral:lncRNA from 1 species